GAUGAACGCUAGCGGCAGGCUUAACACAUGCAAGUCGAGGGGUAGAGGUUGCUUGCAACCUUGAGACCGGCGCACGGGUGCGUAACGCGUAUGCAACCUACCUUUUACAGAGGGAUAGCCCAGAGAAAUUUGGAUUAAUACCUCAUAGUAUAUAACCUUCGCAUGUUGGUUAUAUUAAAGUUCCAACGGUAAAAGAUGGGCAUGCGUCCUAUUAGCUAGAUGGUAAGGUAACGGCUUACCAUGGCAACGAUAGGUAGGGGUCCUGAGAGGGAGAUCCCCCACACUGGUACUGAGACACGGACCAGACUCCUACGGGAGGCAGCAGUGAGGAAUAUUGGACAAUGGGCGCAAGCCUGAUCCAGCCAUGCCGCGUGCAGGAAGAAGCAUCUAUGGUGUGUAAACUGCUUUUGUACAGGAAGAAACACCCCGACGUGUCGGGACUUGACGGUACUGUAAGAAUAAGGAUCGGCUAACUCCGUGCCAGCAGCCGCGGUAAUAC
rnacentral:rRNA from 1 species